rnacentral:rRNA from 1 species
AUUGAACGCUGGCGGCAUGCUUUACACAUGCAAGUCGAACGGUAACAGGCCUUCGGGCGCUGACGAGUGGCGAACGGGUGAGUAAUGCAUCGGAACGUGCCCAGUCGUGGGGGAUAACGCAGCGAAAGCUGUGCUAAUACCGCAUACGAUCUAUGGAUGAAAGCGGGGGACCGUAAGGCCUCGCGCGAUUGGAGCGGCCGAUGUCAGAUUAGGUAGUUGGUGGGGUAAAGGCUCACCAAGCCAACGAUCUGUAGCUGGUCUGAGAGGACGACCAGCCACACUGGAACUGAGACACGGUCCAGACUCCUACGGGAGGCAGCAGUUGGGAAUUUUGGACAAUGGGCGCAAGCCUGAUCCAGCAAUGCCGCGUGCAGGAUGAAGGCCUUCGGGUUGUAAACUGCUUUUGUACGGAACGAAACGGCGAGCUCUAAUACAGUUUGCUAAUGACGGUACCAUAAGAAUAAGCACCGGCUAACUACGUGCCAGCCGCCGCCGUAAUAC